AUAAUUAUUAUAAUGCGACCCACACAAGGGCCGACCCAUCUGGAAGAUUCCCGAUUUCCCGAUUGGACUAUCCGCCCCCGCUUAUUUGAUAAGUCAUGUGAUCGAUUCUGGACCAAUGAGAAGUAUACCAUACACCAUAUCUUCGCAGAAAAUUGUCUGAAUGAAAGACAUACUUCAAUAUACCUGUAUAUUUUGUCACGGUUUUGUGUUUCUCGACUACUCGAGGCGAGAGCAUCAUGCGUCGGUUCGGGUUCGGCACCAGCGUCGUGUUUUUGAAUUUUUUGAAACCGCGUGGCUGUCGUCCGCUGCCCGGUUUCGUGUUGUGCCUUAACGCGCUCUUUUAUUGUUCGUAACGAACGCUGUUCAGCCGGUCGACUUGGCCUUUGCCGUCGACCGUUCUACGCGUCCGUCCAUGGUCGAGACUCGUGCGUUCUCUCGACGACGUCAAUGGCCAAUAUCGUUUUACCACAGUGUGCGUUCGUACGAAUAGCAUUUCGCUACAUUCGGUCUUAAGUGUGCCAUUAUUCUGCGUUCAUACAUUAUUAUAUUGUGUGACAUCGCCCUCGUUGCCACCAUUAAGAAGAUUUUAAAUGGAAAUAAAAAAUGAGGAAUAAAUCAGCAAAAAAACAUUCUUGAGUUGUGGAUCAGCAGCAACCUAAGCCAUUUGGAUCCUUAUCAUCUGUAAUAUUUUUGCAUUUUAUUUGAUUGCAAUCUCAUGGAUUUGGAUGUGUCUUUUAUGUCGAGAGUCCAGAAUUUCCAGAUUAAUACUGUAAUGCCUUAAAUUCGGACUGUUGCGUUGGAGUUGUACAUUGAACAUUACAGCGUCACCUUCAUUUGUGUAGGCAGUACUAUGAUGGUUUGUUUCCAAUGUGUUAUUGGCGAUCACGGUGAAGUGCUCAGAGUGGUAUCAGUAGUUGGGAACUGUACAUCAAACCAAAAACAAACUCCUUGAUAAAUUUCACUCUUCUUAACAAUGGUUAUAUAUAGCUGUGCUGUGAUUUUGUCAACUGUUGUGGCUCCAGCCUAGAAUAUGGACAGUAUUCCGAUGCUUGCUCCCACAUCUAACACGGCUUUACCCUCUAACACCGAGAAACUUUAUAAGAUAGCUUUUUUGUAUGUCUCAGUCCUAUCUGAUUCCUGUAUCUUUAAUUUGUGAACCUGAAAUGUCUAAAAAUUGUGUAACUUUUUAAUUGUAAAUAACAUAAAAAAAUUUUUUUGUUCAAAUCUGGACUUUAAAGUGUAUG